rnacentral:rRNA from 1 species
AGCUCCAAUAGCGUAUAUUAAAGUUGUUGCAGUUAAAAAGCUCGUAGUCGGAUUUCGGGGCGGGGCGACCGGUCUGCCGAUGGGUAUGCACUGGUCGGCGCGUCCUUCCUUCCGGAGACCGUGCCUACUCUUAACUGAGCGGGGGCGGGAGACGGAUCGUUUACUUUGAAAAAAUCAGAGUGUUUCAAGCAGGCGUCUCGCCUUUGCAUGGAUUAGCAUGGGAUAAUGAAAUAGGACUUUGGUGCUAUUUUGUUGGUUUCGAACACCGAAGUAAUGAUUAACAGGGACAGUCAGGGGCACUCGUAUUCCGUCGAGAGAGGUGAAAUUCUCAGACCAAUGGAAGACGAACAACUGCGAAAGCAUUUGCCAGGGAUGUUUUCACUG